UGUACUGUUACAUAAUCUUCUUACGUAAUUCAGCUCUAGUUAAUUAUCUCGCGGACAAAAUGGGCUGCUGGGGAACCUUUGGGUCAGCUGUGGUGCAGAGGUCUUGGGGAGGGCAGAAUGGAGAGAAGAGGGCAUGCCAGAGGGGAACACGAGGAAAAGACAGAAAAGUAGGGAAUUCCCUUUACCUCCGGAAGCGGUCAGAUGGAGCAGAGCCGUGGUGCCAUUCAACCAAAGGAAGGAAAAAUUUUCUUGAUACCAUGCUUCUUAGGAGAGAAGCUGAUCACUACUAGCAUCAUUCUGUAUCUGAACGCCUAAAGAACACCAGGCCCAGGAUGGCCAGGAGUUUGGGACCUUGUUAAAUUACUCAGAAGAUUUUAGGUCGAAGGAGAAUGUGAAAUAUUCAACAGUUCUCCAAAAUUGUCUCUACUUUUGGGCCAUAAUGUAAUAAAUAUAAUGGACCAUUUUA